GGUAAUGAUGGCAGAGAGGUCACACCCGUUCCCAUACCGAACACGGAAGUUAAGCUCUCUAGCGCCGAUGGUAGUUGGGACCUUGUCCCU
rnacentral:rRNA from 1 species